GGAAUUAGCCGUGGGGAACAGAGACAAGCUCUCUUUCAUACGGUUCUGGAGCCAUAAGAGAAAGUGCAAAGGCUACAAUGCUGCAAAUAAAAGAAAAUAUUUUGUAGUCAAGAAGACGAGGUCAUCAAGCUGUGGAGAUGCUUGGUGAAAACGUUUGUGUGCAGACCGGGAGGGCCGAAACUCACGUCCCUGUUAUUCUCCUCCAGAACCUGGUCGCUCUUGCUGAGAAUGAUGUCACAUCCUCCGAGCAGCGGAUCCGCUUCCUGCUCUGCCUCCUCCGCUUUUCUGUGUGAUCUGCUGUAUUGAAUUCGCUUCAAGCUAGGAUUUGUCCCUAAAAUGUUCCUUCCCGUCAUGUUUCAUGAUGUCUGCUUCUGAAUCUGAUGCUCAACGGUAUUUAUAAGCAUA